CUGCCUCAAAAAACCAAAAUAAAUCCCCAUGGGGACCUGGUGUGCAAUGGUUGCAAGCAGCAGCCUCCUUGGUAGUGUAUGUAGCCUGUUUGUUGCCUGUAUGGGUUGCCCCAAGGGACCUUGGAGACAAUG